GACGAACGCUGGCGGCGUGCUUAACACGUGCAAGUCGAACGAAAAGAGGGAAAGAGCUUGCUCUUUCCGGAAUUGAGUGGCAAACGGGUGAGUAACACGUAAACAACCUGCCUUCAGGAUGGGGACAACAGACGGAAACGACUGCUAAUACCGAAUAAGUUCCAAGAGCCGCAUGGCCCAUGGAAGAAAAGGUGGCCUCUACCUGUAAGCUAUCGCCUGAAGAGGGGUUUGCGUCUGAUUAGCUGGUUGGAGGGGUAACGGCCCACCAAGGCGACGAUCAGUAGCCGGUCUGAGAGGAUGAACGGCCACACUGGAACUGAGACACGGUCCAGACUCCUACGGGAGGCAGCAGUGGGGAAUCUUCCGCAAUGGGCGAAAGCCUGACGGAGCAACGCCGCGUGAGUGAUGACGGCCUUCGGGUUGUAAAACUCUGUGAUCCGGGACGAAAAGGCAGAGUGCGAAGAACAAACUGCAUUGACGGUACCGGAAAAGCAAGCCACGGCUAACUACGUG
rnacentral:rRNA from 1 species